AGUGAACGCUGGCGGUAGGCCUAACACAUGCAAGUCGAACGGCAGCACAGUAAGAGCUUGCUCUUACGGGUGGCGAGUGGCGGACGGGUGAGGAAUACAUCGGAAUCUACUUUUUCGUGGGGGAUAGCGUAGGGAAACUUACGCUAAUACCGCAUACGACCUACGGGUGAAAGCAGGGGAUCUUCGGACCUUGCGCGAUUGAAUGAGCCGAUGUCGGAUUAGCUAGUUGGCGGGGUAAAGGCCCACCAAGGCGACGAUCCGUGGCUGGUCUGAGAGGAUGAUCAGCCACACUGGAACUGAGACACGGUCCAGACUCCUACGGGAGGCAGCAGUGGGGAAUAUUGGACAAUGGGCGCAAGCCUGAUCCAGCCAUACCGCGUGGGUGAAGAAGGCCUUCGGGUUGUAAAGCCCUUUUGUUGGGAAGGAAAAGCAGCAGGUUAAUACCCCGCUGUUCUGACGGUACCCAAAGAAUAAGCACCGGCUAACUUCGUG
rnacentral:rRNA from 1 species